UAGAUAUAUGCAAUGUGUUUCUAGAGCUGUGCAGCAUAAAUGUUAUGGGUCAAAGCCAUUCUCUUUGAGCUUUGGAUUGUAAAAUAAAGAAUAGUAAAAAUUCCUGUAGCCCCAUUGAAAUCCACCUCCUGAACUCCUGAAGAGCACAACUGGGUUCUGCUGGUGGCAGGUAGCACGCUGUCAGCCCAAGCAGCAAGAUCUGCCACUUGGUUCCGAAGCUGCUUGGAUAGCUGGACUCGCCUGAAAACUUUCAGUUGUUCUGAGGUCUGAGUGCAAGGAUGCCAGUCAGUGACUAUCACCAUAUAAUUGACCUGAUAUUAUUCAUUUAUCACAAGGACUAUCGUUGACUUGAGGGGUACUAGAUCCAGCCCACUAGCUAUGAGUGGUGUCAGAAACUACACCAAGGCACCCCAAUUCUUUGUGCCACUUCUUUGAAGUGGCACCCCCCCUUUUCUUGGACCAUUAUAGUUACUUUGGGAACAAAGAUGUAACAGGUAUGCAUGGAGCUUUAUAACACUGUGAGACAGACUGGGAUGUGCAAAACCAAGAUUUUUUUAAGAAGUAGACAGUAUUUAUGUGCAUAACUGUAUUAUGUUUGAGAAAAAUACAGGGCAAAUACAAAAAGAGUGUAAACAUGGAUGUGAAUGCAAUGGACUAAACCAAUGCAAGUCUGGCUGGUGGGUGCUGCGAAAGGAUGCAAAAAAGAGCAAGGAAAAAAGAAAAAGAAAGUGUGGCAUGGAAAGUCAGGGGGCAAUUCUAUCAAACUAAAAUUAGGCAAAUAUGAAGUAAAUAGAUUCAAUGUUGAUGGAGUUAUUCUGAUUUUAAAUACCUGUUUACCUGAAAGCUGUAUCUGGCCUUAAGCACUGACUUCAUACUUCUCCAUAGUCUUCUAGUUCUUGCCCUGAAACAACCUCUUUCUAUCAGUAUAACAUGAUUCACUAAGAGUACCCAUGUUCUUUAUCAUGUGUAGCCCAGUGUUCCUCAACUGAGAGCAGGUCCAGUUUGUGUUAGGCAUGGCACAAGUACCCUGUUCCUCCACAGCAUGCAAACCCUGUUCAGACAUUCCCCAAUUAUUAACCACCAUGGUACCCUAGAGCUGAGACUGCUGAUGGCAAAGCUUGGUAAUAAUAGUGGGUGGUUUAUAUCUUCAGGAAGUAAAUUAUUUCUGGAGAGAUACCAGCUGACAUUGCAGGAAUUUGAGCCAUAGUCUGCAGGAGUCGGCAAGACAAUUUGUGUAGAUAGCAGUGUUCCUGACCAGAGUUGUCACUUUUCAUGCUAAACAAAGUGAAAAACACAGACCAUUUGAGCUGACCUUGGUACUCCUCUUUCUCUGACAAGCAUGUGCAUACAUCAUUAUGCUGUAUGGGCAAUUGUAAUUUUCCACCCCAAAAGUUACUUCAAUCUGUUUCCUGUCUAUGGCAUUAAUUUGCAAUCAACUUCUAAAUUUCUUCUAAUGCACACCAUUCGUCUUUAUAUUUUUUAAAUAUCACAAAAAUAUUUGCAUUAGCAUUAAAUAAUAACCAUCACUUCUUAUACUAUCCAGCCAUCAGGUAUGUGGCUUGCUAUGAGGAUGGUCCUCACAGAGGAAGAACAAAGUAAGCCAUGGCUUUCUCGGGUCUCUCUGUCCCAAUGUAUGUUGUAAACUCAAUGACAAAAACAAGAAACUAUUUUCCACCCUAAGAUACACCCAUUUGAACUUACAGCAAAGCCAAAUUUUACAAAGCUUUCAUUCUAUAUGGGCUUUUAUGACUAGCUGCAUCCCCAUCAUCUCUGAGUGCAUUCCAGUAAUGCCUUAAGCACUGUGCCCAACAUCUGUCCAGUGGGGUUUGUUCUCUCACUGUUGCCAUGUGUCCAUGCUUUCCAAUUGAGCUUUUCAACAAAAAAGCGUCAGUCUCUCUAGACUCUGCUUCCUGCUAUUUUUGUUCAAACUUCCCUUCCUCAGAUAACGCCCAUCUUCAUCCAUAUAUCCAAAGCAAGUUAGCAGGCUACUGAGUAGCUUCAGCAGUUGCAGUUGCUGUGUGGGAAGAUACAGACAUUUUUCUCAAAAUAGUUCUUCUGUGAACUUGUGUGCUAUUUCCUUUUCCUGCCUCCUAAGACCUUGAAUAGUUCCCUAAUUUUGGUUGUUGGAAAGCUGUCACUAAGCUCUUCUCAUUGCCUAAGCAGAAACAAAACAGAAAUUUCAGUAUGCAUGACCAUCUCAAAACCAGCGCCUGCUAUGAGCCUACAAUUCUAGGGUAGCUCUUCUGACGGUGAGACUCAGUUCUGGUGGGCAAUGAUAGCGGUUGAGGUGCAUUGACUCCACUGCAUUUGACCCAUUCAGCAAGUGAGCUUCUUUACGUGUGUCUGCUGUGACGUGCAGGGCUUUCCACCAUCCAAACCUGCCCCAAAUGCCUACAGCUUGUCCUCUAGCACAAAAGCCUCUUCUUCAGAAGUGGAUGUUUUAUCCUUGGAAGACAACAACUAACAGUGUCACCAAAAGUCCUGUCUGCCCUUUUGGCACAGUAAAGAUCCCCAGAGCUUUACAAUAAGUUUUCUUCAGUUUCUUUGCAAAAAGCCUUCCCUCUUCAAGUGCAGUUUUUCCAUCCCCUCUGCUGUCCCAUUCAGUGUUAGGAAUGGAUCAUGGUUGUGAAGUAAAUUCAUCAUCUGUUCAAAUUGGGUUCAAAGUUUGUCAGCACUGCAAAUUAAACUAAUUUUUGCUGUUGCAAGGAUGGCCUGGUGUCAUGGUUUAACUCCAGCCAGCAACUAAGUACCAUAUGCCGCUCACUCACUUCCCCCCACCUAGUGGGAUGAGGGAGACAACUGGGAAAAAAAAAGUAAAACUCAUGGGUUGAGAUAAGAACAGUUUAAUAGGACAGAAAGGAAGAAAAUAAUAACGAUAAUAAUAACAGUAAUAAAAUGACAAUAAUAAAAGAAUUGGAAUAUACAAAACAAGUGAUGCACAACGCAAUUGCUCACCACUUGCCGACUGAUGCCCAGUUAGUUCCUGAGCAGCGAUUCGUGCCCCUCGCCGGCCUACUCCCCCCAGUUUAUAUACGGGACAUGACAUCACAUGGCAUGGAAUACCCUUUUGGCCAGUUUGGGUCGGCUGCCCUGGCUGUGUCCCCUCCCAACUUCUUGUGCCCCUCCAGCCUUCUCGCUGGCUGGGCAUCAGAAGCUGAAAAAUCCUUGACUUUAGACUAAACACUACUUAGCAACAACUGAAAACAUCAGUGUGUUAUCAACAUUCUUCUCAUACUGAAUCCAAGACAUAACACUAUACCAGUUACUAGAAAGAAAAUUAACUCUAUCCCAGCCAAAACCAGGACACCUGGCCCAAUGUGAGAAGGGAAGGAAUAGAGGGAAAGAUUGGGGUGGUCCUGAAGUCAGACGUGCUGCUUUUGCCAUUGCCAAUGCAAUGGAAAGAGGGGAGGGCAGUACUGCUGCGUCUGGGUGAGCUGUCUUCAUGAACUACAGGUAGCACAGAGAGGAACAACAGGCAUGGAACUACACAGGCAAAUGAAAAGAAACCUGAAUAACCACAUAAUCCACUACAGCAGGCAGCAGUUUUGUGGAAAGUUAGUACACAAGAGUAUCGGUCACUAUAGUUGCAGUUAGUGAGAUUCAUUAGGAACAAUCACUUACAGUUAUUCCUGCAGCAUCUUUUAACCAUGGGAUUUCAAAGCAUCUACCAGAAAAAAACCCCCAAACACUAAAAAACCCUCAACAUUUAAAAGGUUUUGAGCCCCAAAUCAACACUUCCCACUUGGUAUAAAUAUAAAUAAAUUUUAUAAACAAAAACUCAGUUAAUUUGCAAAGUCAAGCACUCAGAAAACAUUACAAAUACAAUUCUGUCCAAAUUUAUUGUGGGGGUUUUUUUACACAGGGGCUGUAGCUCUCAAAGCAUGUUAAAAACACCCCAAAAUCUUCACUAUGCCUCUGUAAGAAGGUGAGAUAUGGACUGGAUAAGUGGCAAUAAAGUGGAUGGAAAAUUGUCUGGACUGCCUGACUCAAAAGGUUGGGAUCAGCAGUACAAAAAUCCAUCUGGUGGCAGGUUACUACCAGUGGUGUCCCUCUGGGGCCAAUACUGGGGCCAACACUGGGGCCAACACUGUUUAAUGCGUUUAUUAACAACUGGAACCUGUGGAUGAUACCAAAUUGCAGGGAUGUGGUUGAUAUGCUGGAGGGCAGGGCUGCUAUUUAGAGGGACCCUGACAGUGGGAGGAAUGGACUGACAGGAGCCUCAUGACAAUGAUCAAAGGCAAAUGCCACGUCCUUCAGGUGGGAUCCAAUAAUGUUGUGCAACAGUUCACUCUGGCCACCUGUCUAGAAAGCAGCUUUUUAGAAAGGGACCUGGGUGUCCUGGUGGACCUGAAGCUGAACAUGUGGCAGCAAUAUACCACUGUGGCAAAGACCAAACGUAUUAGCAAGAGUAUAGCCAGCAGGUCAAGAGAGGUCAUUCUUCCCUAUUAUUCCACACUUGUGAAACCACAGCUGGAGUACUGUGUCCACUCUGGGGUUCCCCAGUUCAAGAAAUUCAUUGACAAACUGGAGCAAGACCAGCAGAGGGUCACCAGGGUGGUGAGGGGGCAGGAGCAUAUGAUGUUUGAAGAAAGACAGUCAGAGCUGGAUUUGUCUGGUCCCGUGAUGAGAAGGCCAAGGGGAGAUGUUUUUGCUCUCCACAAUUCAGUAACGGGAGUCAGACACUUCUGUGUUGUGCACGCUGAUAGGAUGAAAGGCAAUGGGCACGAACUGCAGCAAGGGAUAUUCAUUCAGAUGGUAGGAGAUAAUUUUCGUCAUGAGGGUAGUUCAGCACUAGAACAGGCUGCCCAGAGAAGCUGUGUCAUUUCUAUCCCAGCAGACAUUCGAAACUCGACCGGACAAGGUCCUGAGCCAUCUGAUCUCAGCUGGACUAACUUUGCAUGGGAGGAGGGUCAAGAUGACAUCCCAAGGUCUCUUCCAACCUAAAUGACCCCAAUUCUAAGGGGAAGGGCCACUGAAGGGAAGUUCAGCCCCACUAAAAGCUAUUGCUUCUGAUACGAAACCUACCGGUGGAGGGGGAUGCGGAAAUGCUUUUCAUGCCAUCCCACAAAAACAGUUGAGCUUUUACAAUUUUCAAAUUCUUUUAGUAGGUCAACAACAAUGCCUUUCUAGCUUUUGUCUGGUUUGUUUUUUGUUUUUCUAAAAGGACACAAGAAAACAUUAACUACUUGUCUGGUAAUCAAAUAGUAAUUGAACUUGAACCCGGAGCUGUUUCAUCCAAGAAGAGUGCCCUGAUCUUCAGGCCAGAAAGUGCUAGCCUCACUCUCCUUUCCCUGGCACAGCAUAUACUUUAUCAGGAAAAGUAGCUCUGAAAAGGGUAAGUAAGUAAGUGAGGCAUUUUUGCCGGGAAAAUAAUUUAGUUAGAAAUUUCUGACCAUAUCUACAUGGCCCCUGCCAUGCAGGACCACACAGCAACUGUAGAAGAAAAAGUAAAGAAAAGCUCACUCACAUUGCAACCACUGUAUUUCUGAAAUAGAAGAAAGUUGUGAAGACAAAGAAGUUGGCCACUAUUUGGGGAUUAACACCUCUGAAAUGUGAAAUAUGUCCCAAGACAGAUUAUAAUAAUAAAUGAUAGAGCUUUGCUUUUGUGUCUCAUGCAGAUGAUGUAUUUGACCUGAGCAGGGACUCCCCACAGAAAAAAAGCAAGGAGAGACUUCAGGCUUUCAGCUCACGUGGUCAUCAGGCAUCUUGUGACUGUGGUGUUUUCAUGUGUGGCAAGAGGGGCAGUGGUAACUACAGUUUUGGAGCAGACUUUGUGAGUAAGAUUAAAAUGCUUUCAGUGACAAAGACUGUGGUGUUAUUUCCAUCCAUCAUUCAAACAGUGCAAAGUGAUGUAAAUCUGUCCUAAAUAUCAGAUCAAAUCUCUGUUGGCUGCUGCUUCAUGACCCUUUUUGCCAGAGAUGGUUAGUUACAUCUGGAAAGUGCUCUCAUCCUUAUGAUAGUGUUCUGGACAUCAUCCUGUCGGCCCAGUCUGAAGAGGUGAACAUGGGGGAAAAACUGGCCCUUGUGAUUCUUGUUGCCUUUCCUUCAGUUGAAUUGAGACUACAUUCAGCUGAAAAUUUGGUAUUUUAUCUUUCCAUUUUAAUCUUCCAUUGCAGUCAUGAGCUCUUCAGGGUGGGUAUUGCCUCUACCUGGGUGACCCGUGCCUACCACAGGAGGUUCCUGGCCCCUGGGCACUACUGCAAUAGAGUAAUACUUAUCCCCAGCCAUCCAGGUGUGGGCACAGUCAUACUGUGGAUAAUGGGGAUAACAAAGUGAGAGCCAGGAGGAAGUUAUUUUUAUGCUGCUGGUAAUUACAGGGCAGUUGGGGAGAGCAUGUGGAACAGCAAAAGCCACACUGCCAUGCUGUGUGUUAGCUAUCAGUGUUAUACUAUGUUGUCUUGAGUGUUACGAAGACUUUUUAUCCAGUUCCCAAAUUGCUUGGUGAAUACAGGGAAGGUUAUGCUGAAUGGAUUUGAUGGUCAAAAAUUGACCAUCCUGACUUGUAGCUGGCUGGCACUUGGGUGAGCUGAAACCAGGACAAAUGCUUAAAGCUGCCCUUUGCCAUCACAGGCAUAUUUGGGAGUUCCCAAGGAACCUCAGAGCACUUGGCUUUCCACAGCCACCGUGGGAAUCCCAGGAAAUCUUUUGUUACAACAUAUUUGCUGUCUUGAUUCUGGUUCUGCUCAAACAUGGAUGGAUCCUGGAUCCUUGCUCGGACCCCUGGAUCACACUCCCCUCCCUGGUUCUUUGUUUCCUGCCCCAGCCGUUUGCGCUGGCCCUGCACCCCACCCUGCACCCUCUCUUGGUGCAGAAGGGGAGGAUGUCCCUGCUAGACUGCUAACAAAGUUUUUCUCAGAAAAAGCUUCACCACAUCCAAAGCCAGGAUGUAACUCCAGAGAAAAACAUCACUUUCCUGAACGGGGCCACUGUGUUCAAAUCGGGCAAGGAAAGUUUUUAAAUAGCUUUAGCAAAGCCUGUUUACCAAGCCUGUGAACUCUCAGGCCAUGAGAGGGAGCUUUUAAAAUGCUCUUCAUGUACAGGAAAGCCUUUUGUCUUCAAGAGUUCAACACAGGCCCCUGUCUCAGCCGCACAGUCCUGCUUACCAGUGGGCACCCAUCCUUUGCCCCUCUGCUCUGCCCUGCUUACUGAAAGCGAAAAAUGCUGGCAGCACAUGGUGAUGCAGCUGUCCGGUUUUGGAGCGGUUCUUAUCUCAUGUUUAUACUCUCAGCGUACAGCAUGCGGUCACAGCAGAAGCCUGCUCCAGAUCUGCCUGCUAGGGCUGGCGGCAGAAAAUGUGCUGCCUGACUCAUUCAGAGGGGACACUAAGUCAAAGGGGUUUCAUUUGCUUUCCAUCACCAUGGUAUUUUCAUUUCUUCUUUCCCUUUUAAUAAAUCUUUAGGUUUAGAAGGAGAUUCUGUGUGAGAGGUUAUGCACGAUUUGGCGGGGGGGUGUUAGUUGUUGAACUAUUAGCCUUAAUAAAUAGUUUUAUCUCAUGGUGAUAAGACCAGUAUUUCUGAUAAGCCUGUGGCAACGGACAUAACAAGUCCCAUAACCACAGUUAAAUAGCAAGAGCUUCUUAUAGCCCAGAGCCAGGGGACAGGGUAGGGACCCAGCUGCCAUGGCACCUUACAUUUAAACAGUCAGCUGUGCCGCUGUGGUAGUUGUCAUCAGGGGCUGAUGCUAUACACAGUUAUUCUCUGCUCUGGCCUUGUUUCACAUCUGUAACUUUGGGGUCUUCACCAGAGAAAAAAUCAACGUGAUACAGUGAAAGGCAAGGCAGAGUUUAAGAUAUAUGAGUUUCUUAAUUGUAUUUCUAGAUUAUCCAGUGUUCAGCAUUGGAGGAGAUGGUCUUAUUAAAGGUGUUUAACUUUUGAAGUUUCAGAAUUUCUCAUCUGUAAAACAACCCUAUCAUGUUCUUUUAUGUUUUGUACCUGUAAGUAGAUAAUAGCUAUAUAACAAUUUGAGGCCCAGCUGGAUGGAUUAUUUUUCUCGAGCUUUGGGAUGGAAAUCUUCUUGAGCUUUUUAAAAUAUUCAUGACUGGAUUAUAACAUUUUGAUAUGUGGUCUUGUUUUUGGAAGAUGGGUUGGAAUGUUUUUAUCUUUAAGUUUCUAAUUUUUCUUACUGUAGAAAUCUCCCUAGAGGAAGAGGUAGAUUUAAUCUUUUUAAGAGGACCUCUCAGGCUUAUCACCACUGCAGGCUGUAUCCUAUAAGGGGACCCUUUAACAGUGUCUUGGAACAUUUAUCUACAAAGUUAUCAAAGCUCAAAUAUCUGAUCAAUUCCAAUAUAGACAGCCUCUGCUCAGAUGCUCCAGCAUCCAUCCAGCAUGACUUGGUUCUCCUUCCUUUGGAUCCAUAAUGGCCAAUAGGGAUGAAGGCAAUAUCCCCACAACAGAAUGAGCUGCCUAAAGAGCAUAGUGAAAAGCAAGGAAAGAACGAAACAUCUGAGCUGAGUAAGGACUUCUUAGAUGGUUCACAGAUGUGCACUGGAAAUUCUCUCACUGGAAAUUAAAAGAGUUAUCAUGAGAGACACACAAGUCCCUUCUGCCCACCCCUGCCCUCACACUGGCAAAAGGCGGUGUCCGUGUUUGGGGAGAGAAGCGCUGCUGGGCUGCUUCCCCUCUGCCCUCCAUCACAGGCACUGUCCUUCCUGGGUCCUGAGUCAGUGCCUGUGUUAGCCUGCACUCGAUACUCCAGCGAAGAACAGCAUAAUGUGAGUACCGAUGACUCGGUCCACCUAAAGGAAGGUUAACUUAAAAGAAGAUACUGCAUUUUGUUAUGGUUCUUGAGAGAACAACAUCCUGGAGUUACCACUAGGAACAAAGCACCGACUUAGUGGAGGACAGAAAUCAUAUGCCAUGUACAAGAAGAUGAGAUGAAAAAUUGUUAGAAACUGCAAAGUGACAUAACUCAAAAAGUUAAAGUAAAUGCUGAACCACCUCAGCUUAAUUUUGUGCAUUGCAAUAGACUUUCCCCACACCAUUGCGCACGAUGCCUUCACCAAGACCCCAGAACAGUGUGACGGGCCAUGAAUGAGACAAGUGCUGUGCCCAAGCUUCACCCCACAGUUCAAGACCUGGUUCCCUGCCCCACGGGCAGCCCCAACCUCACUCUCUGCUCCCACACAAGAAUUAGUGUCCUGAGGCAAGGACCCCUGCUUUGUCCCCCAUAUGCCAUCCCAACUCUGGGGACAACAGGGACCAGCCAGAGGGACAGGUCUUUCAGCCUCCUCUGUUCCCAAAAUACCUUAUUUAUUACCUUAAAACAUUCUUUAUAAUCUUAAAACAGCCUGGGAACUUGGCACCUUCACUGUCUUUGAUUGUCUGACAUUCAUUCUGGCUGCCUGCAGUUUCCAGCCUGGGAAGGAUUGAAAUUUCAUGACAGUGCCCCUCCAUUUAAGCACAUGCCUGCCUUGGGGUUGAGUCAUCCCUGGUGAGAGGAUUUGGAAAGCAAAGCCUUCCUGACCUGAACUCAUUGGGUUUUUGGCCAUGCUGCCUUGCCACACUGCCUGGGCGCCUGGGCUGUGAAAAGAACACGCACAGGCAUAAGUUGGUUCAUGAUGCACAAGCAUCAUGAAGCAUCAGAGAAAGCAUUUGGUUUGUGUGUCAAGUGUGCUAGAAACAGAUCAGCAUGCAGCAGCGAGAAGCACAGGUGCCUUUUGCACAGCAGAAGAAAGGAGCAUCCCAAGCCUUUUGAUGUGUCUCAGCGAGCAAGCAGACACCAACAAAGACAGGACAAGAUUUAGAAAAGCAUCCUUGUAAUAGCUGAACACAAAAGUGUCCAAAAGUGACAAUUUUGCUAGCUUCAGAGACAAUUUCCUUUCUGUUGUGCCUGAUUUGCCCGUCACAUCACAUAAUACGAAAAUUUGAAAAUAAGGCACAGUCAAAACGUUCUGGAGAGGUACAUUCCUAACGUCCUGGCUCAGGUGAACUUUCUCCAUUCUACAGUCAAAGGAGGGAGGCAUCCAUAUGCCUCAAGAUGGGGAUGGUUUAGGCUGUAUUAUUCAGGGCACUUCUGAGUGAGGGGAGAGACAAAGAGAUGGGAACAAUCCUCCCCUUUUACCUGAAACUUUUCUGCUUGCCUUCCUGCAGUGAAAAGUCUCCACAGCCAUUAUCACCCACCUCCCACUGGCUUUGCUAUGACCCCGGUCCAGGGAGACCUCAGCUGUGUAACCAACAAAGUCGAGCCAAGCAGAAACUGAAAUGAAGGACUGUGACUAAUUAAGAUGUUCUUGUGUGCGCAUUCAGAUGAAAGUUCCUGGGAAGAGAAUGCAAAAAUCCUAAGUAGCUGUAAAGUGGCUCUUUUCACCAACCUUAAAGCACAGUACCACAUAAUAACUCACAGCUGUGCAUAUCUGAUCCUCAUCUAGGAUCAGCUCAUGCAUUAUUUACAUCCUUAUUACUGGCAGUGGAGUUGGGCAGAAAUGACGGUAAUAUCUGUUACACCUGAUGGGAGACAAGCAUUUUGCAUAGCUCACACUUGUUGCUGAGCAUGGCCCAGAGAGGCAGGGAAGGAGGUGGGAAAGCAACUGAGCUUGGAGAAACUGUAACCCUUUAGAAAUCAGAAAAAAGGGAAGAGGACUCAUGUUUUGGAGUGUGAGCAGGCACUCAGUGGCUGGGAGAAAGAAAGACAACUUGUUCACUUUGCCUCUACGCAAUGCUGCAGCAAAGAGCGGGUGAAGAGAGGAGAGGCACAGGUGGAAAGUCCUGCAGGAUUAGCAACGCAUGAAGCAGCUGCAUGCUCUCAGAGAGUGAGCUGAAGUCCUUGUUAGUUGUGUCCUUUGACUGACACUUGAUGGCCUAUGACAAAGGUAAGGGGUCAGGCAGGUUUCUUGGCCACCAGCCCAGGCAGGGAGCUGCUCCCUGGCUCGGAGAGCUCUAAUAGGCACCAAGGGCCCUGGCAUGCCCCUAAAAGAGGCGGUGAGACACACCACACCCUGUGGUGCUCAGGCAGCCUCCUGCCAUCAGGAGUCCCGGGACUGCUGUCACGUAGCCUGGUUGUGGAGGUGGCUGGUGGUGGCUUUUGCAUGGAUGACUGCCCAUGGGGAAAUGGAUGGACACCACCAAUUACACUCCUGCAGAGCACUUGGCAGCUGGUGGCAGCUGAAAACUUUCCCUCCUUCCCAGUGAGGUGAGGAACAAAACCAUGAAAAGCUGUGUUUUCUGUGCCUGAAACCCAUUUUGGCUCCUGCAACGCUGUCCCACGGGCAGCCUGGAACAGAUUAUUUCUGCUGUCUUUAAACAGCUGCUCCAAAGUCCUUGCUGGACAGCAGGGACAACCUUCCCAGACAGGCUGCCAGGCAGAAUGGUUUGGCUCUGCUGGUGCCUCACGGUUAUCACCAAAAGGAUAUUCCAGGAUCACAUCCAGCUGCAGGCAGAAACAGGCAGGAAGCUAGCACACAAGCUCCCAUACACUAUCUGCUCCAGAAACUGGAAUCAAAACCCAAAGCAGCAGCCCUUCAGUCAGCAAUGUGACUAAACCCAGGUCAGCUGUAGCCAAAUUCUCCAUUUAAAUAAGCAGACCUCCAAGCAUUACUUCUCUGACACACGCAGUAGCACCAUGCUGGAUCAUCUCACACAAGAUGAAACCAGCCUUUCUCCUGCCCUGAACCCUAAGUCAGAGGCAACUUUUCAAUGAAUCAUGGAUUGGUCUGUCCAAUUGUGUCUGAUCCAUGUGGGUCACAAAACAGGAGCGCCACGUUGCAAAAAGCUCUGUGUGCUGGCCUGGGUGCAGAGGAGGAAUGUGAGGAAGGAGUCAGCAGUGCGAGGCUCACGUCAGGUCAAGUUCCUGUAUACAUGGAAGGUUUAGACUCAAGUAUGCUACCAGCUGCAGCCGCCCAAGGCAGCCAAGAUUCAAGGACAAGCAAACCCUCUAUGGAUGAAGGUUACGGGAAGAAAAAAGGUCCAGAGCUGUACAAAAGCACUCGGCCCAU